UACAGAGGAGCCAAGCGUUGUCCGGAUUGACUGGGCGUAAAGCGCACGCAGGCGGAUGCGCGCGUGGGGUGUGAAAUCUGGCCGCUUAACGGCCAGGCGCCAUCCCAUACGGCGUGUCUGGAGGGCUGCAGAGGUCGAUGGAAUUGCCGGUGUAGUGGUGAAAUGCGUAGAGAUCGGCAGGAACACCGAGGGGGAAGCCAGUCGACUGGGCAGCGCCUGACGCUGAGGUGCGAGAGCGUGGGGAGCGAACCGG
rnacentral:rRNA from 1 species